ensembl:ncRNA Y95B8A.17 ncRNA
UUUAGGCUUAGGCUUAGGCUUAGACUUAGGCUUAGGCUUAGUCUUCGGCUUAGGCUUAGGCUUAGGCUUAGGCUUAGGCUUAGGCUUAGGUUUAGGCUUAGGCUUAGGCUUAGGCUUGGGACUGGGCUUAGGCUUGAGCUUUGGCCUAAGCUUAGGCUUAGGCUUACGCUCAGGCGUAGGAUUAGGCUCUGGCUUUGGCUUUGGCUUAGGCUUAGACUUAGGCCUAGGUUCACGCUUAGGCCUAGGCUUACAAGAAAUAUCCUCAUUUACCGACCGACUGUGGCCUAGGAUUUCAAAAAAUGACCCUUUUUGAAAAAUCGA